rnacentral:SRP_RNA from 1 species
ACCGAGCCUUGUAACGAGGGCUUGUAGCUCAAGUGGGGCAACAAUGUGGUGGAAUGUUGGGUUGUUCCUGAUGGCUGGGCUUUGGUGGGCUAAUGUCUGGUCUGCCCUAUCCAAGCACCGAGUUGAGUCAUGUGGUCCAAACGAAAGUUUGGGCUACUUGGCUCCUAGAGUGGGGCGGAAUGCGUGAGGCUGGUUUCACAGAGCAACGAACAGUCUCCGCUCCGUGCAGUGGAAGGAUAAUGGAUCAGUGCUCUCCAAGUUCAAUAAAAAACUAAUGGACAAUCUAAUUAGACCACCACUUUU